AUGGCCUGGACUCCUCUCCUGUUGGUGCUCCUCUCUCUCUGCACAGGUUCCCUCUCCCAGCCUCUGCUGACUCAGCCAGCCUCCCUCUCUGUGUCUCCGGGAGCAUCAGCCAGACUCUCCUGCACCCUGAGCAGUGGCUACAAUGUUGGCAACUAUAGCAUAUACUGGUAUCAGCAGAAGGCAGGGAGCCCUCCCCGGUACCUCCUGAGGUUCAAGUCAGACUCGGAUAAGCACCAGGGCUCUGGGGUUCCCAACCGCUUUUCUGGAUCCAAAGACGCCUCAACCAACACAGGGCUCCUGCUCAUCUCCGAGGUGCAGCCUGAGGACGAGGCUGACUAUUACUGUGCUGUGUGGCAUGACGACACUAAUGCUCACACGGUGCUCCAGACCAGUGAGGAAGAGCAACAGAAACAUCGUCCACUCACCCCUGCUCAUGGCUCGGAUGAAGUCUAG